GAUGAACGCUGGCGGCGUGCCUAAUACAUGCAAGUCGAGCGAACAGACGAGGAGCUUGCUCCUCUGACGUUAGCGGCGGACGGGUGAGUAACACGUGGAUAACCUACCUAUAAGACUGGGAUAACUUCGGGAAACCGGAACUAAUACCGGAUAACAUGUUGAACCGCAUGGUUCAACAGUGAAAGACGGUUUUGCUGUCACUUAUAGAUGGAUCCGCGCCGCAUUAGCUAGUUGGUAAGGUAACGGCUUACCAAGGCAACGAUGCGUAGCCGACCUGAGAGGGUGAUCGGCCACACUGGAACUGAGACACGGUCCAGACUCCUACGGGAGGCAGCAGUAGGGAAUCUUCCGCAAUGGGCGAAAGCCUGACGGAGCAACGCCGCGUGAGUGAAGAAGGUCUUCGGAUCGUAAAACUCUGUUAUUAGGGAAGAACAAAUGUGUAAGUAACUAUGCACGUCUUGACGGUACCUAAUCAGAAAGCCACGGCUAACUACGUG
rnacentral:rRNA from 1 species